rnacentral:rRNA from 1 species
GAUGAACGCUGGCGGCGUGCCUAACACAUGCAAGUCGAACGAAGCACUGUAAACGGAGAUUCGUCGAAGUUUGCUUUGACUUAGUGGCGGACGGGUGAGUAAUGUAUGAGCAACCUGCCUUUCAGUGGGGGACAACAGUUGGAAACGACUGCUAAUACCGCAUGAUGUCAAUUGGGGGCAUCCCCGAAUGACCAAAGGAUUUAUUCGCUGAAAGAUGGGCUCAUAUCUGAUUAGCUAGUUGGUGAGGUAACGGCUCACCAAGGCUGCGAUCAGUAGCCGGACUGAGAGGUUGAAC